rnacentral:rRNA from 1 species
AGUUAUGGUUCCAUUGAUGGUACCACAGUUACUUGGAUAACUGUGGUAAUUCUAGAGCUAAUACAUGCAAACAGAGCCCCGACCAUUCAUUGGAAGGGGUGCUUUUAUUAGAUCAAAACCAACUUGGCUGUAAUGGCCAGUUAGUCUUGGUGACUCUGAAUAACUUUUGGCUGAUCACAUUGGUCUCGUACCGGUGACGCAUCUUUCAAAUGUCUGACUUAUCACACUUUCGAUGGUAGGCUCUGCGCCUACUAUGGUUGUAACGGGUAACGGGGAAUCAGGGUUCGAUUCCGG